rnacentral:lncRNA from 1 species
UUCUCCACUUAACACUGUCUACCAUGGAGUCAUUUGGUUUCUUUUUUAUUCCUAGAAGAUGAAGAAAUGAUGACAUCCCAAACCUCAUAAUUUGUCUAUACUUCCACUCAGGCACUUCUGCACAGUAUCUAAAUAUUUAUGUUUCUUUGUCAAAUGACAGGCAAGAAUGUUUCUGUAAUAUUUAUGAGAACAUAGGAGUUGUUAAGAGAAGAAUCUUUGCCUCCUACAGAAGGGACAUAAGAAAAGCUCGGAAGAAAGGUUGAGCCCACAGUUUACAAAGGUUUCAAACAUCUAGGUGAUUAUCAUCAUACGGUAAGAGCAUUUGACCGGAUUGUAUGCAGCUAAAAUUACUACCCAGCAUCACGUAAAUGCAGUGUUAGAAGGAUUUCAUAAAUUAGGAAAUCUGGAAGCAUCUGGGAGAGUGGAUGGUUCACUUUGGGUGGCAAGGAUGGCAGAUAUGAGGUUUUCACUGGAAAAUAAGCCAAUUACACAUGCCAUUUCCUUUCCUCAAAAUCUCCAGGGUCACUGCUGGACAUAGAACUUUGGAAUGGGAAGAAACUUCCAGAGCUCUGUCCUCUUCCAGAUGAUCAGAAUACAGGUACACACGGUGCACAGUUUCUCAGGGUUGUUGGUGAUGCCAGACCAAGUUCCCUAUAGAACUGAUGUCUGUGGAUUUUUUUGAAUAAACACAGAAAUUGAACCCCUUGGACUUAAAUGGAGUCUCACUCUGUCACUCAGGCUGGAGUGCAGGGGUACCAUCUCGGCUCACUGCAACCUCCACCUCCCAGGUUCAAGUGAUCCUCCUGCCUCAGCCUCCCAAGUAGCUCGGGUUACAGCGAGAAACAGGCCCGAGACUGAACCCCUGGUGUUCGGCGUCACUGGCAGUCAGCGUUCACUUCUCUCCAAAAGGCACAAUGCCUCCCUUAUGAAGAAGCCAAAGAAACAGUCAUCCACAAGUCACUUGGAAGUGUCCACUAUCACCUGGCUCUCAUUUUUCUGACAUGGUUUGGCCAUAGGAUGUUUCUGUUCAUCGAACACUCUAGAUAGUAGCCAGCCCCUGAUGGUGCCGGUGCAGAAUGAGAGCAUUAAAAUGGGAUCCGAGGCAGCGGGGAGAGAGAAAGGAACACAUGGCUUCAGAAUCCAACAGAACCCUCAUCGGUUCGUGGCUCUACCACUUACUGUGUGUUACCUGGAGGAAAUGAUUUAAACUCUUCUAGCUGCAACUUAUUUAUCAGCAGAACAGGAAGCCAAGUAUAUUUGCUAGUGUUUUGCAAGGUGUCAAUGAGAUCGAUGUUUUCUUUGUUUAUUCGUUGUUGUUUUCAAGACAGGGUCUUGCUCUGUCACCCAGGCUAGAGUGCAGUGGUGCAAUCUUGGCUCACUGAAACCUCCACAUCCCAGGUUCAAGUGAUCCUCCUGCCUCAGCCUCGAGUGGCUAAAAUUACAGGUGUUUGGCACCAUGCCUGACUAAUUUUUUGUAUUUUUGGUGAUGACAGGGUUUCACCAUGUUGGGCAGGCUGGUCUUGAACUCCUGUCCUCAGAGGAUUCACCUGCUAGAGUCUGCCAAAAUGCUGGGAUUACAGGAGUGAGCAGCUGCGCCCCGCCGAGAUAAACGUUUAACAGUUCCUUGCAUAUCGCUGCAUACAGUUAGUGUUCAAUGAAUGUCAGCUGUUCUAACUGUUGUUGCUUUUGUUAUUCUCAUUAUUGCUACUAAACCAAGGAACUGAGGUGAGAGAUCUUAUGAGAUGUGGAUUCAGUACAAGGCAAAUUAAUUAAUUUGCCAUAAUUAACAUAGGUCUCCUGAUGCUUCAACCAACCACUUCCUUUUAAACCGUUUUCGUUAUCCUAUUCUUUAACUCCUUCCAUUUGCAAGCUCCUCGUGAGAAUCUAUCGCCUGGUGAUCUGAGAUGAAACAGUUUCAUCUGGAAACCAUGCCUCCACCCCGAUCCCUGGAAAGAUCAUCUUUCAUGAAACUGUCUCUGGUGCCAAAAAGGUUGCAGACCUCUGUCUUAAAAGAUACAAGCUGUCAGACCUGGGCCUGACAUGCAGUUGAAUCGUGGCUAUUGUUUUUGUUCUUUUUGUCUAUUGGAGAUUUGGAAACAAUUGAUUUUUUUUUGUCGUUAAUUUUUGCUUUCAGGUUGUCAUAAGAUUUAUUUUAUUCAACUGUGAAACCAUAGAGCUCUAGAACAAGCUCGUCUUGUCUAAUCCGCAGCCUGCAGGACGCACGCCGUGCAUCGACAACUACAGGUGAGAAAGACGAAGCUUGGAUUAAUUCAGUACUGUGGUCCGGGCAGAAAGUAUUCAACAGAGCGGAGUUUUAGACGUAGGUUCGUUUGUCUCCUGAUAAAUUACCUACUUUCUCCUCAGCACUCCAUAGCAGGACAGCUUUGAAUGCAGCUCAAUGCAAAUUCCUAAACGUUUUAAAACGUUCUGAGAUUUUUUUGAUGGUUUUGGUUUUUAGUUCAUCAGCUAUCGUUAGUGUCAGUGUAUUUCAUGUGUGACCCAAGACGAUUCUUCUUCUUCCACUGUGGCCCAGGGAUGCCAAAAGUAUGGACACCGCUGCUGUAGAACAUUAAGCUCUAGGAACCUUAGCAAGACUUUCGUUCAGCUCUUCACUUUGUAGUGGAAAAAUCAAAGCCCAGGAUGGUGAGAAGAUGCCAGGGGCCGCAUUGCAGAGUCAGAAAGAUAAAUGUAACAUUUUGCACAGGUUGCCUCAAGAGAGCCUCUCAUGCCUCCAACAGCCCACACAUGCAGGUCCUGUCUGAUCUUUCCUUUUUGGGGGGGCCUGAGUAUUAAUAUACAUAUCUUUUAAAAUGUUAAGCUGAUGGCUUGUCUGAAGGUAGUGAGUUAUCUCAAUUGAUUGUUAACAGUCAGUUACAGAUCGAACUCCUUGUUCUACUCUCUCCCCCUUCUCACUACUGCACUUGGCUAGUCUUACAAAAAUAAAUAAAUAAAUAAAAUAAAAA